rnacentral:rRNA from 1 species
GAUGAACGCUGGCGGCGUGCCUAAUACAUGCAAGUCGAGCGAACAGAUGAGGCGCUUGCUCCUCUGACGUUAGCGGCGGACGUGUGAGUCACACGUGGGUAACAUACCUAUAAAACUGGGAUAACUUCGGGGGACAGGAGCUAGUAACGGCUAAUAAAUUGAACCACAUGGUUCAAUAGUGAUAGACUGUUUUGCUGUUGCUUAUUGAUGGAUACGCGCGGCAUUAGCUAGUUGGUAAGGUAACGCCUUACCAAGGCAACGAAGGGUAGCCGCCCUGAAAGGGAGGAUCGCCACACGGAAUCAGAGGCACGGUCCACACUCUUAGGGUGGGCAGCAGUCGAGAAUCUUCCGGAAUGCGCGAGAGCCUGACGUUGCAACGCCGAGUGAAUUAUGAUAGUGUUCGGAUCGUAGAGCUCUGUAAUUAGUGAAGAUGAAAUGCGUAAGUAACUAUGCACGUCUUGACGGUACCUAAUCAGAAAGCCACGGCUAACUACGUG